GGGGGUGUAAGGUUUCGACGAAUUUUCGAAAGUACGAAUAGCGAGUAGUGGAUGGUUGCUUAGGCCACUAUAAAAAAGCAAAUUAAAUUUUAAACGCAGAUAAUAGAGAAUUUGCAUUAGCUGCUUAGUGUAGCUAUGUCUUAUAUUUUUUUGCCAGAGGAAAAUAUAAGGCAUCGAUUUAUCUGGCUAACAAAGUUAACUGAUGACUUUAGGUUGAUGGGUAUUUUUAAGUCGUGAUAUUAAGUUUUUUGUAAAUGUUUUAUCUUAAUGUCAUUAUUUUAACAUUUACUGCACUCGGAGAAAUUUGUAUAAUAGAACUUUCGGACGCGAGUUCAACUCUCGCCACCUCCACCA
rfam:Clostridium sp. CAG:921 genomic scaffold, scf246